AAGUUCGGAGGGUCUCUGCGUCUCUGGGGUUUCUAUCACUGCUCCUUCCAGCCCUCAAGCGGCUACUCCGAAGAAUGACGAAGGGCCCUACUUGCGUAGAUUCGUGGGAUGAUUUUACCAAGAAGGAAAAGGGGGAAAAGAAAUCACAAUUAUUGAGGGUCCAGCCUUGGUCAGAUUCCGUGUCAGACCCUUCCAACUUGACAUUAUUGACUCUUCACAACUCUUCAUUUUGUAGUCCAGGAAGCAGGCUCCGAGAGACUGCCUAGAAAAAACAGCACCCGGAUCUGAAUUCGAGGCCGUCCCACACCCAUCCCGGUACGGUUCCCAGCAGAACUGAGCUGGAGUGGCCCUGAUGCAAAUGAACUUAGAUCCCAGCUGCUUGUGAUGGAAGCCAAUCCCAGCUUUCCCAAGCUUACAGGUUUUUUCCAGAAGAAGCCAACUUGAUCUCCCGGAACACGAAUUCAGCAGGCUCUCAUCUCAGAACUGCCUCCAAUCCAUCCCAUACCCCUUCACACUUCAGUCCUUGGUAUUUUCUCCGAUCACACCUUCCACUCCUCCUUCAUAUUUGCAAGUCUCUCCCUGCAGAAUCUGCCCCGAGGAGCAAAGGACAUUUUUCCAUGGGGAACAGAAUUUUAGAAUUUCCCUUUGUACCCGUGAGGAACAAAGCUCUGGAAUUUUUACACAGAUUUCUAUUUCCCUGUGGAAGCACUGGAAAGGAAAUGUCAUUCUCACUUUGAAGAGGAAGAGGGAUGCAGCAAGGUAAUAAACGCUUUCUAAAUA
rnacentral:lncRNA from 1 species